UGUAUCCUUCGGGGCUGGGUGAAAAUCCCGACCGGCGGUAAUAAAGCGAGAGACAGCUUUAGAGCCCGUGACCCGCUGUGCUUCGUGCAAAGCGGUGGAUUCAGUGAAAAGCUGAAGCCGACAGUGAAAGUCUGGAUGGGAGAAGGAUGAA
rfam:Bacillus licheniformis ATCC 14580, complete genome.